UACGUAGGGUGCGAGCGUUAAUCGGAAUUACUGGGCGUAAAGCGUGCGCAGGCGGUUUUGUAAGCCAGAUGUGAAAUCCCCGGGCUUAACCUGGGAAUGGCAUUUGGGACUGCAAGGCUGGAGUUUGGCAGAGGAGACUGGAAUCCCUGGUGUAGCAGUGAAAUGCGUAGAUAUCAGGAGGAACACCGAUGGCGAAGGCAGGUCUCUGGGACAUAACUGACGCUGAGACGCGAAAGCGUGGGGAGCAAACAGG
rnacentral:rRNA from 1 species